GCUCUGUUAGCUCAGUUGGUAGAGCAACUGACUCUUAAUCAGUGGGUCUAGGGUUCGAGUCCCUAACAGAGCACCA
rnacentral:tRNA from 1 species